UGACGAGGAUGAGAACCUCCGGGGGGCAAGAGGUUCGACCCGAGCGAAGCGAGAGAACGUUGCGCCAGCAACGGCCCGCAGUGGCAAGUCAUCCUCUGUCACCGGCAG
rnacentral:sRNA from 1 species